UGGCCACCAUUGAUGACCUGUUAUGGCAAGGUGACUGUGGCCACCAUUGAUGACCUGUUAUGGCAAGGUGACUGUGGCCACCAUUGAUGACCUGUUAUGGCAAGGUGACUGUGGCCACCAUUGAUGACCUGUUAUGGCAAGGUGACUGUGGCCACCAUUGAUGACCUGUUAUGGCAAGGUGACUGUGGCCACCAUUGAUGACCUGUUAUGGCAAGGUGACUGUGGCCACCAUUGAUGACCUGUUAUGGCAAGGUGACUGUGGCCACCAUUGAUGACCUGUUAUGGCAAGGUGACUGUGGCCACCAUUGAUGACCUGUUAUGGCAAGGUGACUGUGGCCACCAUUGAUGACCUGUUAUGGCAAGGUGACUGUGGCCACCAUUGAUGACCUGUUAUGGCAAGGUGACUGUGGCCACCAUUGAUGACCUGUUAUGGCAAGGUGACUGUGGCCACCAUUGAUGACCUGUUAUGGCAAGGUGACUGUGGCCACCAUUGAUGACCUGUUAUGGCAAGGUGACUGUGGCCACCAUUGAUGACCUGUUAUGGCAAGGUGACUGUGGCCACCAUUGAUGACCUGUUAUGGCAAGGAGCCUCAUUGUAUUCUCUCUGGACGUUAUUAAUUUUCUUACUCAUUAAAGGACUUGUUUAACUGAGAUUCGUAUAAUAUUUCCAUAAUAUAUAUAUGAGAUUUAUGAGAGGUAUCCUCAGUACAUUGUGCAGGUAAACUGCCUCACUAUCUUGGUGCAGGUAAACUGCCUCACUAUCUUGGUGCAGGUAAACUGCCUCACUAUCUUGGUGCAGGUAAACUGCCUCACUAUCUUGGUGCAGGUAAACUGCCUCACUAUCUUGGUGCAGGUAAACUGCCUCACUAUCUUGGUGCAGGUAAACUGCCUCACUAUCUUGGUGCAGGUAAACUGCCUCACUAUCUUGGUGCAGGUAAACUGUCUCACUAUCUUGGUGCAGGUAAACUGCCUCACUAUCUUGGUGCAGGUAAACUGCCUCACGAUCUUGGUGCAGGUAAACUGCCUCACUAUCUUGGUGCAGGUAAACUGUCUCACUAUCUUGGUGCAGGUAAACUGCCUCACUAUCUUGGUGCAGGUAAACUGCCUCACUAUCUUGGUGCAGGUAAACUGCCUCACGAUCUUGGUGCAGGUAAACUGCCUCACUAUCUUGGUGCAGGUAAACUGCCUCACGAUCUUGGUGCAGGUAAACUGCCUCACUAUCUUGGUGCAGGUAAACUGUCUCACUAUCUUGGUGCAGGUAAACUGCCUCACUAUCUUGGUGCAGGUAAACUGCAUCACUAUCUUGGCGCAGGUAAACUGCCUCACGAUCUUAGUGCAGGUAAACCUCCUCACGAUCUUGGUGCAGGUAAACUGCCUCACUAUCUUGGUGCAGGUAAACUGCCUUACUAUCUUGGUGCAGGUAAACUGUCUCACUAUCUUGGUGCAGGUAAACUGCCUCACUAUCUUGGUGCAGGUAAACUGCCUCACUAUCUUGGUGCAGGUAAACUGCCUCACGAUCUUGGUGCAGGUAAACUGCCUCACUAUCUUGGUGCAGGUAAACUGCCUCACUAUCUUGGUGCAGGUAAACUGCCUCACGAUCUUGGUGCAGGUAAACUGCCUCACGAUCUUGGUGCAGGUAAACUGCCUCACUAUCUUGGUGCAGGUAAACUGCCUCACUAUCUUGGUGCAGGUAAACUGCCUCACUAUCUUGGUGCAGGUAAACUGCCUCACGAUCUUGGUGCAGGUAAACUGCCUCACGAUCUUGGUGCAGGUAAACUGCCUCACUAUCUUGGUGCAGGUAAACUGUCUCACUAUCUUGGUGCAGGUAAACUGCCUCACUAUCUUGGUGCAGGUAAACUGCCUCACGAUCUUGGUGCAGGUAAACUGCCUCACGAUCUUGGUGCAGGUAAACUGCCUCACUAUCUUGGUGCAGGUAAACUGCCUCACUAUCUUGGUGUAGGUAAACUGCCUCACGAUAUUGGUGCAGGUAAACUGCCUCACUAUCUUGGUGCAGGUAAACUGUCUCAUGAUCCUGGUGCAGGUAAACUGUCUCAUGAUCCUGGUGCAGGUAAACUGCCUCACUCUCUUGGUGCAGGUAAACUGCCUCACGAUCCUGGUGCAGGUAAACUGCCUCAUACCGCCAUGGAGGAAGAGGGUGAGGGUUGGAGGUGUUGGAGUGCCUCAGUAACCACGGAGGAACAUACGAAAUGAAGACAUUCCGAAUUUUCGCCUCACCUUGCCCAGGCUAACAUGCUUCAUAAGGUGAGCGCCCACUUUUGGCAACCCACCUUUAGCUAGCUGUCCCCGCGUCCCAUCCUGUGUUGACACAAGCACUCCCAGCGUCCCAUCCUGUGUUGACACAAGCACUCCCAGCGUCCCAUCCUGUGUUGACACAAGCACUCCCAGCGUCCCAUCCUGUGUUGACACAAGCACUCCCAGCGUCCCAUCCUGUGUUGACACACGCACUACCAGCGUCCCAUCCUGUGUUGACACACGCACUACCAGCGUCCCAUCCUGUGUUGACACACGCACUACCAGCGUCCCAUCCUGUGUUGACACACGCACUACCAGCGUCCCAUCCUGUGUUGACACAAGCACUACCAGCGUCCCAUCCUGUGUUGACACAAGCUCUCCCAGCGUCCCAUCCUGUGUUGACACAAGCACUACCAGCGUCCCAUCCUGUGUUGACACAAGCACUACCAGCGUCCCAUCCUGUGUUGACACAAGCACUCCCAGCGUCCCAUCCUGUGUUGACACAAGCACUACCAGCGUCCCAUCCUGUGUUGACACCCGCACUACCAGCGUCCCAUCCUGUGUUGACACAAGCACUACCAGCGUCCCAUCCUGUGUUGACACCCGCACUACCAGCGUCCCAUCCUGUGUUGACACAAGCACUACCAGCGUCCCAUCCUGUGUUGACACCCGCACUACCAGCGUCCCAUCCUGUGUUGACACACGCACUACCAGCGUCCCAUCCUGUGUUGACACACGCACUACCAGCGUCCCAUCCUGUGUUGACACAAGCACUAUACCAGCGUCCCAUCCUGUGUUGACACAAGCACUACCAGCGUCCCAUCCUGUGUUGACACAAGCACUACCAGCGUCCCAUCCUGUGUUGACAACGCACUACCAGCGUCCCAUCCUGUGUUGACACAAGCACUACCAGCGUCCCAUCCUGUGUUGACACAAGCACUAUACCAGCGUCCCAUCCUGUGUUGACACAAGCACUAUACCAGAGUCCCAUCCUGUGUUGACACAAGCACUAUACCAGCGUCACAUCCUGUGUUGACACAAGCACUACCUGCGUCCCAUCCUGUGUUGACACAAGCACUACCUGCGUCCCAUCCUGUGUCGACACAAGCACUAUACCAGAGUCCCAUCCUGUGUUGACACAAGCACUCCCAGCGUCCCAUCCUGUGUUGACACAAGCACUACCAGCGUCCCAUCCUGUGUCGACACAAGCACUAUACCAGAGUCCCAUCCUGUGUUGACACAAGCACUCCCAGCGUCCCAUCCUGUGUUGACACAAGCACUACCAGCGUCCCAUCCUGUGUUGACACAAGCACUACCAGAGUCCCAUCCUGUGUUGACACAAGCACUACCUGCGUCCCAUCCUGUGUAGCACUAUACCAGAGUCCCAUCCUGUGUUGACACAAGCACUUCCAGCGUCCCAUCCUAUGUUGACACAAGCACUAUACCAGCGUCCCAUCCUGUGUUGACACAAGCACUACCAGCGUCCCAUCCUGUGUUGACACAAGCACUAUACCAGCGUCCCAUCCUGUGUUGACACAAGCACUACCAGCGUCCCAUCCUGUGUUGACACAAGCACUAUACAGCGUCCCAUCCUGUGUUGACACAAGCACUACCAGCGUCCCAUCCUGUGUUGACACAAGCACUACCAGCGUCCCAUCCUGUGUUGACACAAGCACUACCAGCGUUCCAUCCUGUGUUGACACAAGCACUCCCCGCGUCCCAUCCUGUGUUGACACACGCACUACCAGCGUCCCAUCCUGUGUUGACACAAGCACUACCAGCGUCCCAUCCUGUGUUGACACAAGCACUACCAGCGUCCCAUCCUGUGUUGACACAAGCACUACCAGCGUCCCAUCCUGUGUUGACACAAGCACUACCAGCGUCCCAUCCUGUGUUGACACAAGCACUACCAGCGUCCCAUCCUGUGUUGACACAAGCACUACCAGCGUCCCAUCCUGUGUUGACACAAGCUCUAUAAUUUUUACAGUACCUGUUUUUUAUUUUAUAUAUCCCCAUAAACAACACUUUUCCUGUAAAAGAACAUCAACAACAUGUUGGAAUACUUCGUGUAUAAAGACCAAUAAAGAUAAUACAGUACUGUUAUAAAA